rnacentral:rRNA from 1 species
GACGUAGGGCGCGAGCGUUGUCCGGAUUUAUUGGGCGUAAAGAGCUCGUAGGCGGCUUGUUGCGUCGACUGUGAAAACCUGCGGCUCAACUGUGGGUCUGCAGUCGAUACGGGCAGGCGUAGAGUCCGGUAGGGGAGCGGUGGAAUUCCUGGUGUAGCGGUGAAAUGACGCGGAUAUCAGGAGGAACGACCAGCGGCGAAGGCGGACGCUCUGGGCCGGGAACUGACGCUGAGGAGCGAAAGCGUGGGUAGCAAACAGG